GUCCGUGCAGUGCCACAGGAGCUAGAGCAGUGACAAUGCUGGUGGCAACAGGGCAGUGUAGCAGGUAAAGAAAUGGAUUAGUGAUAACUCAAGUUUCAUCACCUGUGAGUAUCUCUGAAUGAGAGGCUUCACAUGUAUAACUUUUAGGCAAUGUGACUUCUGGAAAGUCACUUGUCUCUUGAGAUUUGGUGUCCUGGUGUAACAGUUAAGAAUUAUUUCAACCAAACUAGGAAAGGACCACAGUCGAGCUGUUAAGAAUAUAAACUCUUCAUAUUAUUUCAUUGCAUUGAGCCUAAGAAGGUUCACAAAAUUUGGCACAGAAGGAGUAUCUGUCAGCAUAUUCUGUUUUUUUGUGUGUGUCUAUGUAGCAAGUAUUAAUAUUUAUCUUGGAGUCAUUCUUAAUUCAUAGCAUUGUUCUUACCUUUUUAUCUAAACUUUUAUGUUCCAUAUUGUAAAGUCUAGCCUCAUAAAUUUAGGUAAUUGCUCACAAGUUUGGAUAAUGUUGAAUUGUAAUCCCGAUGUUAGAGGAGGGGCCUGGUGGGACGUGAUUGGAUGAAAAGGGUGGAUUUCCCUCUUGCUGUUCCUUGUGAUAGUGAGUUCUCAUGAGAUCUGGUUGUUUAGAUGUGUAGUGUGGCUGGGGCAGUGGCUCAUGCCUGUAAUCCCAGCACUUGGGAAGGCCAAGGCAGGGGGAUCACUUGAGGUCAGGAGUUAAGACUAUCUUGGGCAACAUAGUAAGACCUCGUCUCUA
ensembl:lncRNA DANCR differentiation antagonizing non-protein coding RNA